rfam:Hordeum vulgare subsp. vulgare, WGS project CAJW01000000 data, contig: morex_contig_2553802
UUUGUACUCCCUUCGUCCGAAAUUACUUGUCACGUAAAUAAAUGGAAAUGGAUAUAUCUAAAAUUAAAAUACAUCUAGAUACAUCUAUUUCUAUGACAAGUAUUUUUUUACGAAGGGAGUACUAA